GACAUGUUUACUUUUGAAAAAUCUAUAAUUAUUAUUUAUUGUAUUUAUUUUCUCUUAAUAAAAUAUGGGAAAUAAAUUAAUAGAAUUAGUUUUAUAUUUCCUGGUACACUUCCAAUCAUAAGGUAAAGAUGAUACGACUGCACCAAGCCUAAAAAGGAGUUUUAGAACUACGCAAGUAAUACACGCAAAAAGCAGAUGGUCCUUUCAAGAAAAAAAAGAAAAAAGAUGAUACGACUGGGUUACUAGCUUUAGCUCGCAAAGAAUUGGAGAAACCAGAGAGUGACUUCGAGAAAAUUGCUGCUGCCUGGGCAAUAGAACUAGCAAAAAUGAAACCAGACCAACAGUUAUUUGCAAAGAAAGGUUCCAUACAAAUGAACGUAAGUCGUACAUCUACUCCCUUCACCUAUGUCCCACUAGGCCCGGCAAGCAACGCUUCAUCGUAUGAAUCAUUGCAAUACUCAUCACCUGGGUACAAUAACCAAAUGCAGUCUGGUAAUCAGUCAACUGAUACUGCUAGUAAUUUUUGUUCAAACUUUGCAGAUAUUUAAUAAUGUAAAUUUAAUUAUGAAAUAAACUAGUUAAGUUCUA